UCCUAAUUCAUGAAUUUUCUGCAGUUUGGAGAUUUACAUAAACAAGGGACUUUAAACUCAUCUGGCUCAUCAGGAUCAAACAAGUAGUCAUACCUGUCAGGUACAAUAAACUUCGUUAGACCGACUUCGAUAAAACAAAAAAUUUCAUGAAUCAUUUCAUGAAUUCAUAGACCAAAAUGACGAUUCACUCUAAAAUGCAUGCUGAAAUGACACAGGAAAGCAUGCUACAGAAGAGGGAAGCAUAGAUAGAGAAUAUACGUUAGUUCAUCACCAGCAGAUACAUUAGUCUUGGCAAUGAGUGCGAUCCGGCUCUCGUCAUGACCUACACUCAUGAUCCUUGCAUAGCAAUUUGGCAUACACUGUAUUAACGUAAACCAAGAAGGGGUAAGAUGAGAUGACUAAUAACCAGUAAUAUGUACUAAAACAACUAAAUAUAGGCAAAUAUCAGCUGUGUUUUUAAGAUUGGCGAUUGAUUUUUGAGCAGGGUACUGUGCAAUUUGAGAUA